rnacentral:snoRNA from 1 species
AUGUCAUGAUGUGGACAUCUCCUUAACAUUAUUUUCAAUCUUUCCCAAGCUUGAUAAACUGACUCAGUGUCAGUCUGCAAAAAGUUAGAUAUAUCCUGUCUUAACUU